AGAGCUGGCGCGGCGGUUGCAGGCUUGGCUAGAUCAAGUCUGAGGAAAGUCCGGGCUCCCGAAAGACCAGACUUGCUGGGUAACGCCCAGUGCGGGCGACCGUGAGGAGAGUGCCACAGAAACAUACCGCCGAUGAGAAGGCAGAAGGCAGAAGACAGAAGGCGGAAUUUAACUUCACCCUUCAUUCUUUCUCCUUCAUCCUUUCACAGGUAAGGGUGCAAAGGUGCGGUAAGAGCGCACCAGCAGCAUCGUGAGGUGCUGGCUCGGUAAACCCCGGUCGGGAGCAAGGUCGGAGGGGCCAAGGUUGGUCUUUUUCCCAGCCCCGUUUAAGGUGUACCGCUAGAGGCAGCUGGUAACAGCUGUCCCAGAUAGAUAACUGCCCUCAGUCGGCUAGCGCUGGCUGAGAACAGAACCCGGCUUACGUCCAGCUCUUUCU
rnacentral:RNase_P_RNA from 1 species